rnacentral:misc_RNA from 1 species
AACCUAGCACACCUGCGGUGUGUACCUGCGGAAGGAUCAUUACAGAGUUGCAAAACUCCCUAAACCAUUGUGAACGUUACCUAAACCGUUGCUUCGGCGGGCGGCCCGGGUCCUUCCCGGCGCCCAUCGGCCCUCGCGGGCGCCCGCCGGAGGUAAACCAAACUAUUGCAUUGUAUGGCCUCUCUGAGUCUUCUGUACUGAAUAAGUCAAAACUUUCAACAACGGAUCUCAGAUCGGAAG